UACGGAGGGGGCUAGCGUUGUUCGGAAUUACUGGGCGUAAAGCGCACGUAGGCGGCUUUGCAAGUCAGAGGUGAAAGCCCGGGGCUCAACCCCGGAAUUGCCUUUGAGACUGCAUCGCUAGAAUUGUGGAGAGGUAAGUGGAAUUCCGAGUGUAGAGGUGAAAUUCGUAGAUAUUCGGAAGAACACCAGUGGCGAAGGCGACUCACUGGACACAUAUUGACGCUGAGGUGCGAAAGCGUGGGGAGCAAACAGG
rnacentral:rRNA from 1 species